rnacentral:rRNA from 1 species
UAACCUGCCCAUCAGAAGGGGAUAACACUUGGAAACAGGUGCUAAUACCGUAUAACAAUCGAAACCGCAUGGUUUUGAUUUGAAAGGCGCUUUCGGGUGUCGCUGAUGGAUGGACCCGCGGUGCAUUAGCUAGUUGGUGAGGUAACGGCUCACCAAGGCCACGAUGCAUAGCCGACCUGAGAGGGUGAUCGGCCACAUUGGGACUGAGACACGGCCCAAACUCCUACGGGAGGCAGCAGUAGGGAAUCUUCGGCAAUGGACGAAAGUCUGACCGAGCAACGCCGCGUGAGUGAAGAAGGUUUUCGGAUCGUAAAACUCUGUUGUUAGAGAAGAACAAGGAUGAGAGUAACUGUUCAUCCCUUGACGGUAUCUAACCAGAAAGCCACGGCUAACUACGUGCCAGCAGCCGCGGUAAUACGUAGGUGGCAAGCGUUGUCCGGAUUUAUUGGGCGUAAAGCGAGCGCAGGCGGUUUCUUAAGUCUGAUGUGAAAGCCCCCGGCUCAACCGGGGAGGGUCAUUGGAAACUGGGAGACUUGAGUGCAGAAGAGGAGAGUGGAAUUCCAUGUGUAGCGGUGAAAUGCGUAGAUAUAUGGAGGAACACCAGUGGCGAAGGCGGCUCUCUGGUCUGUAACUGACGCUGAGGCUCGAAAGCGUGGGGAGCAAACAGGAUUAGAUACCCUGGUAGUCCACGCCGUAAACGAUGAGUGCUAAGUGUUGGAGGGUUUCCGCCCUUCAGUGCUGCAGCUAACGCAUUAAGCACUCCGCCUGGGGAGUACGACCGCAAGGUUGAAACUCAAAGGAAUUGACGGGGGCCCGCACAAGCGGUGGAGCAUGUGGUUUAAUUCGAAGCAACGCGAAGAACCUUACCAGGUCUUGACAUCCUUUGACCACUCUAGAGAUAGAGCUUCCCCUUCGGGGGCAAAGUGACAGGUGGUGCAUGGUUGUCGUCAGCUCGUGUCGUGAGAUGUUGGGUUAAGUCCCGCAACGAGCGCAACCCUUAUUGUUAGUUGCCAUCAUUCAGUUGGGCACUCUAGCAAGACUGCCGGUGACAAACCGGAGGAAGGUGGGGAUGACGUCAAAUCAUCAUGCCCCUUAUGACCUGGGCUACACACGUGCUACAAUGGGAAGUACAACGAGUUGCGAAGUCGCGAGGCUAAGCUAAUCUCUUAAAGCUUCUCUCAGUUCGGAUUGCAGGCUGCAACUCGCCUGCAUGAAGCCGGAAUCGCUAGUAAUCGCGGAUCAGCACGCCGCGGUGAAUACGUUCCCGGGCCUUGUACACA